rnacentral:rRNA from 1 species
UACGGAGGGGGCUAGCGUUGUUCGGAAUUACUGGGAGUAAAGCGCGCGUAGGCGGGCUGUUAAGUCGGGGGUGAAAUCCCGGGGCUCAACCCCGGAACUGCCUUCGAUACUGGCAGCCUAGAGGACGGAAGAGGUCAGUGGAAUGGCGAGUGUAGAGGUGAAAUUCGUAGAUAUUCGCCGGAACACCAGUGGCGAAGGCGACUGACUGGUCCGUUUCUGACGCUGAGGUGCGAAAGCGUGGGGAGCCAACAGG